rnacentral:rRNA from 1 species
UACGUAGGUGGCAAGCGUUAUCCGGAAUUAUUGGGCGUAAAGAGGGAGCAGGCGGCAGCAAAGGUCUGUGGUGAAAGACUGAAGCUUAACUUCAGUAAGCCAUAGAAACCAGGCAGCUAGAGUGCAGGAGAGGAUCGUGGAAUUCCAUGUGUAGCGGUGAAAUGCGUAGAUAUAUGGAGGAACACCAGUGGCGAAGGCGACGAUCUGGCCUGUAACUGACGCUCAGUCCCGAAAGCGUGGGGAGCAAAUAGG